AUUGAACGCUGGCGGCAGGCCUAACACAUGCAAGUCGAACGGUAACAGGAAGAAGCUUGCUUCUUUGCUGACGAGUGGCGGACGGGUGAGUAAUGUCUGGGAAACUGCCUGAUGGAGGGGGAUAACUACUGGAAACGGUAGCUAAUACCGCAUAACGUCGCAAGACCAAAGAGGGGGACCUUCUGGCCUCUUGCCCUCGGAUGUGCCCAGAUGGGAUUAGCUAGUAGGUGGGGUAACGGCUCACCUAGGCGACGAUCCCUAGCUGGUCUGAGAGGAUGACCAGCCACACUGGAACUGAGACACGGUCCAGACUCCUACGGGAGGCAGCAGUGGGGAAUAUUGCACAAUGGGCGCAAGCCUGAUGCAGCCAUGCCGCGUGUAUGAAGAAGGCCUUCGGGUUGUAAAGUACUUUCAGCGGGGAGGAAGGGAGUAAAGUUAAUACCUUUGCUCAUUGACGUUACCCGCAGAAGAAGCACCGGCUAACUCCGUG
rnacentral:rRNA from 1 species